rnacentral:rRNA from 1 species
UUGAACGCUGGCGGCAUGCCUUACACAUGCAAGUCGAACGGCAGCGCGGGGGCAACCCUGGCGGCGAGUGGCGAACGGGUGAGUAAAAUAUCGGAACGUGCCCUGAAGUGGGGGAUAACGUAGCGAAAGUUACGCUAAUACCGCAUACGAUCUAAGGAUGAAAGUGGGGGAUCGCAAGACCUCAUGCUUUAGGAGUGGCCGAUAACUGAUUAGCUAGUUGGUGAGGUAAAGGCUCACCAAGGCGACGAUCAGUAGCUGGUCUGAGAGGACGACCAGCCACACUGGGACUGAGACACGGCCCAGACUCCUACGGGAGGCAGCAGUGGGGAAUUUUGGACAAUGGGGGCAACCCUGAUCCAGCAAUGCCGCGUGUGUGAAGAAGGCCUUCGGGUUGUAAAGCACUUUUGUCAGGGAAGAAACGGCUGGGGCUAAUACCUCUGGCUAAUGACGGUACCUGAAGAAUAAGCACCGGCUAACUACGU